UACGUAGGGUGCAAGCGUUAAUCGGAAUUACUGGGCGUAAAGCGUGCGCAGGCGGUUUCGUAAGUCUGUCGUGAAAUCCCCGGGCUUAACCUGGGAAUGGCGAUGGAGACUGCGAGGCUAGAGUUUGGCAGAGGGGGGUGGAAUUCCGCGUGUAGCAGUGAAAUGCGUAGAGAUGCGGAGGAACACCGAUGGCGAAGGCAGCCCCCUGGGCUGACACUGACGCUCAGGCACGAAAGCGUGGGGAGCAAACAGG
rnacentral:rRNA from 1 species